CGUAGGCUGUUAUAUAAGUCAGUGGUGAAAUAUUCGGGCUCAACCGGGAUACUGCCAUUGAUACUGUAUAGCUGGGAUAUGGUUGCUGUGGGUGGAAUGUGUGGUGUAGCGGUGAAAUGCAUAGAUAUCACACAGAAUAUCGAUUGCGAAGGCAACUCACAAAGCCAUUAUUGACGCUGAUGCACGAAAGUGUGGGGAUCAAACAGGAUUAGAUACCCUGGUAGUCCACACUGUAAACGAUGAUAACUAGCUGUCGGCGAUAGAUAGUCGGUGGCUAAGCGAAAGCGAUAAGUUAUCCACCUGGGGAGUACGACCGCAAGGUUGAAACUCAAAGGAAUUGACGGGGGCCCGCACAAGCGGAGGAACAUGUGGUUUAAUUCGAUGAUACGCGAGGAACCUUACCCGGGCUCGAACGGUGCAGGAAUAUGGUAGAGAUAUCAUAGCUAGCAAUAGUCUGUAUCGAGGUGCUGCAUGGUUGUCGUCAGCUCGUGCCGUGAGGUGUCGGCUUAAGUGCCAUAACGAGCGCAACCCUUGUCGUUAGUUACCAUCAAGUAAAGUUGGGGACUCUAGCGAGACUGCCACCGUAAGGUGUGAGGAAGGGGGGGAUGACGUCAAAUCAGCACGGCCCUUACGUCCGGGGCGACACACGUGUUACAAUGGUAGGUACAGAGGGGCGCUAUCCAGUGAUGGAGUGCGAAUCUCAAAAACCUAUCUCAGUUCGGAUUGGAGUCUGCAACUCGACUCCAUGAAGUUGGAUUCGCUAGUAAUCGCGCAUCAGCCAUGGCGCGGUGAAUACGUUCCCGGGCCUUGUACACACCGCCCGUCAAGCCAUGGAAGCCGGGGGUGCCUGAAGUUCGUGACCGCAAGGAGCGACCUAGGGCAAAACUGGUAACUGGGGCU
rnacentral:rRNA from 1 species